GUGUCAGCCGCCGCGGUAAUACGUAGGUGGCAAGCGAUACUCGGAAUCACUAGGCGUAAAGCGCAGGUAGGCGGUUGGGUAAGUCUUUUUGAAAGCUCCUGGCUCAACUGGGAGAGGUCAAGGGAAACUACCUGACUAGAGUGUGGUAGGGGAUACUGGAAUUCCUGGUGUAGCGGUGAAAUGCGUAGAUAUCAGGAGGAACACCUGCGGUGUAGACGGCUUUCUGGACCAUCACUGACGCUGAGACGCGAAAGCGUGGGGAGCAAACAGGAUUAGAUACCCUGGUAGUCC
rnacentral:rRNA from 1 species